GCCGCAUUAGCUCAAGGGAUAGAGCACGUCGCUACGAACGACGUUGUUGGGAGUUCAAAUCUCUCAUGCGGUA
rnacentral:tRNA from 1 species